AAACAGAUUCAAGAAUAUCAAAGUUCCCUUAUAUUAAUUUUUACCGUAUACGGUGGCUCACUCUAUUUUUCUCAUACUUGCUCACUAUUACAAGUCAAGUACUAUAGUAGUACACCGGUGUCUUCAUAUUUCAUGUACUGCACAUGCGUAUAUAUAUUACUCGAGUGUGAAACAUGCAGACAAUACUCUACCAAAGCAAGCC
rnacentral:lncRNA from 1 species